rnacentral:rRNA from 1 species
GAUCAUGGCUCAGGAUGAACGCUAGCUACAGGCUUAACACAUGCAAGUCGAGGGGCAGCAGGACGAUAGCUUGCUAUGUUGCUGGCGACCGGCGCACGGGUGAGUAACGCGUAUCCAACCUUCCCCUUAGUAGGGCAUAGCCCGGUGAAAAUCGGAUUAAUACCCUAUGUUAUUCGUCGAGGACAUCUGAAGUGAAUCAAAGAUUUAUCGCUAAGGGAUGGGGAUGCGUCUGAUUAGGUAGUCGGCGGGGUAACGGCCCACCGAGCCCUCGAUCAGUAGGGGUUCUGAGAGGAAGGUCCCCCCACACUGGUACUGAGACACGGACCAGACUCCUACGGGAGGCAGCAGUGAGGAAUAUUGGUCAAUGGGCGAGAGCCUGAACCAGCCAAGUAAGCGUGCAGGAUGACGGCCCUAUGGGUUGUAAACUGCUUUUAUACGGGGAUAAAGUGAGGGACGUGUCCCUUAUUGUAGGUACCGUAUGAAUAAGGACCGGCUAAUUCCGUGCCAGCCGCAGC